rnacentral:rRNA from 1 species
CGUCUGGUAAUUGGAAUGAGUACAAUUUAAAUCCCUUAACGAGGAUCAAUUGGAGGGCAAGUCUGGUGCCAGCAGCCGCGGUAAUUCCAGCUCCAAUAGCGUAUAUUAAAGUUGCUGCAGUUAAAAAGCUCGUAGUUGAAUUUCUGGUACGAUGUGCCUGGUCCACGGUCGCAAGGCCGCGCGUAUCGGAGUACGUCUGCCAUCCUUCUAGUUAACUGGCUAUACUUAACUGUGUGGUCAGCAACCUAGAUCUUUUACUUUGAAAAAAUUAGAGUGUUUAAAGCAGGCUCGCGCUGUGAAUACAUUAGCAUGGAAUAAUAAUUUAGGACUUUGCUUCUAUUUUAUUGGUUUCUAGGGGUAAAGUAAUGAUUGAUAGGGAUAGUUGGGGGUGCUAGUAUUCAUCGGCCAGAGGUGAAAUUCUUGGAUUCGAUGAAGACUAACUUAUGCGAAAGCAUUCACCAAGGAUGUCUUCUUUAAUCAAGAACGAAAGUUGGGGGAUCGAAGACGAUCAGAUACCGUCGUAGUCUCAACCAUAAACUAUACCGACUAGGGAUUAGUGGAAGUUGCUAUAUCGACUCCAUUAGCACCUUAUGAGAAAUCAGAAGUCUUUGGGUUCUGGGGGGAGUAUGGUCGCAAGGCUGAAACUUAAAGGAAUUGACGGAAGGGCACCACCAGGAGUGGAGCCUGCGGCUUAAUUUGACCCAACACGGGGAAACUUACCAGGUCCGGACAUAGUGAGGAUUGACAGAUUGAAGUUCUUUCUUGAUUCUAUGGGUGGUGGUGCGUGGCCGUUCUUAGUUGGUGGAGUGAUUUGUCUGGUUAAUUCCGUUAACGAACGAGACCUCGACCUGCUAAAUAGUAUGACGUAGGCUCUGUCUAUGGACAUGACUUCUUAGAGGGACUGUCGGUUUUUAGCCGAAGGAAGUUCGAGGCAAUAACAGGUCUGUGAUGCCCUUAGAUGUUCUGGGCCGCACGCGCGCUACACUGAUACGUGCAUCGAGCUUACAACCUUGGCUGGGAGGCCUGGGUAAUCUUUGAAAAGCGUAUCGUGCUGGGGAUAGAUUAUUGUAAUUAUUAAUCUUCAACGAGGAAUUCCUAGUAAGCGCGAGUCAUCAACUCGCACUGAUUACGUCCCUGCCCUUUGUACACACCGCCCGUCGCUGCUACCGAUUGAAUGCAUUAGUGAGCUUGAGGGAUCGUUUAGCUUGAGGGUCAAACUUCGAGUUAAGUGAGAACUCACGCAAACUUGCGCAUUUAGAGGAAGCAAAAGUCGUAACAAGGUUUCCGUAGGUGAACCUGCGGAAG